GGAGAAUCCUGCACGCACGCUGCUUUCUCUAAAGGAAGAAAGCAGUUCUACCCACUCCUGAGGCCCGGGUAGCUCCGUAGGUCGGUCGGCUCCUUACCGAGUGCUCGACCCUGGAAUCCUUGACUCCGGCAGGUCGACAUUAUGGCUCCUGCACUCGUAGUCCUGCGUCUGGGACAUCGCUGUCUGCUUCCUCGCCGAAGUGGACAGACGUCAGGGCAUCAUCGGGACAACCCCAGCAUCAGACGGGAAGGUGCUGCACUGCAAGAGGGGAGAAGCAACAGUGCUGAUGUGGAAAAUGCCUCACCACACCAACCACCCAGCUGAGCCCGUCGCCACAGAGUGGCUGGACAGAAUGAAGAUGGACUCCACAGCACCCGUGAGCCGUCCCCGGGCAGCCAACCCCACUCCUCAGUGCUCUUGAUGUCUGGCCCUGCAUUGCAGCGAAGCCUGGCCAGUCUCCCACACAGCAGGGAGACUGUGCCCACAAGCCAGGAUCCAGCCCAUGUCAGCCUGAGACACCACCCCCACUCCCCGCUGGGCCGGGGCAGGCACAAGCCAAGCAUCGCAGGACCGUGGGACCACAGGACUUGAGGACUGGGAGGAGGGUGAACAGGAGGACAAGCACCUGCUCCGCCCUCACUCUCAGCCCCACAUCUGAGACUCAGUGUCCCCAGCUGUCCACACAGGCGACACUUGCCGGCAGUCACUGGGGAAGGACGCAGGACCACACACAUACAGCGUGCACAGCCAUAGCACAAGGGCGCUCAGGAGCAAUCCAUGUUCACACGGAUCACCUGAAUUCUGAGAACAGUGCUGUAUUCACCAGGUAUACAGUCCAUUGUUGAAAACCACAGGUCUGAGCUAGGAGGGUCACCUAUAUGCGGAUUUUCUUCCUCCUCUGCCUCCCCUGAGACAGCACAACCAACCCCCUUCCUCCUCCUUCUCCUCACCCUACUCAACGUGAAGGUGACGACGAUGAAGAUCUUUAGCACUUCCACGUAAUGACAGUAAAUCUAUUUUCUCUUCUUUAUUAUUUUCUUACUACCAUUUUCUUGUCUGACUUUAUAGGAAAAGUAGAGUAGAUGUUACAAUAGCAUACAAAAUGCAUGCGAAUUGACUGUUGUUAUCCGAAGGCUUCUCAUCAACAGCAGGCUGUUUGUAGUUAACAGGAGGAGGAGGAGGAGGAGGAGGUGGUGGUGGUGGCAGCAGCGGCGGCAAGUAAGACAUGGGUUUUUGACCACCUGGUGGGGGUCAGCGCCCCAAACCCUGAGUUAUUCAAGGGUCAAGUGUGAAAAAAAUUAACCUUGGACCUUUACCUCAUCCAAUCCCGUACGUAAAACUUAAUUCUAGAUGCACCGUAGGCCUAAAUGUUAAAAGUAAAAUAAUAAAGCUUUUGGAAAGAAAUGUAGGAGAAAAUCUUUGUGGCCUUAUAGUAGGCACAGAUACCUUAAUUGGACACACACAAAAAACAAUGCACAAAAGAAAAAUCAACAAAUUGGACUAUAGUAAAAUUAAGAACCUCUGUUUAUCAAGAAACUAUUAAGAAAAAACAAAAAGCACAUCCUAAGUGGGAUGUAUUUGCUACACAGAACAUGUGUAAUGUGUGUGUAAUCUGACAAAGAGCCACACCCUACCAGUAAGGAAGGAAAUCAGCCGAGUGUGGUGGAGCAUGUCUAUGGUCCCAGCCAUGCGGGCCGAGGAGGAGGGAGGAUCGCGCCACUGCACUCCGGCCUGGGCGACAGAGCGAGACCCUGUCUCAAAAAAAAAAAAAAAAAAA
ensembl:lncRNA